rnacentral:rRNA from 1 species
UACGGAGGAUCCAAGCGUUAUCCGGAAUCAUUGGGUUUAAAGGGUCCGUAGGCGGUUUGGUAAGUCAGUGGUGAAAGCCCAUCGCUUAACGAUGGAACGGCCAUUGAUACUGCCAGACUUGAAUUACUGGGAAGUAACUAGAAUAUGUAGUGUAGCGGUGAAAUGCUUAGAUAUUACAUGGAAUACCAAUUGCGAAGGCAGGUUACUACCAGUGGAUUGACGCUGAUGGACGAAAGCGUGGGGAGCGAACAGG